AUUGAACGCUGGCGGCGUGCCUAACACAUGCAAGUCGAGCGGUAACAGGUGUAGCAAUACAUGCUGACGAGCGGCGAACGGGUGAGUAAUGCUUCGGAAUCUGCCCAUGUAGUGGGGAAUAACCAGCCGAAAGGUUGGCUAAUACCGCAUACGACCUACGGGUGAAAGCAGGGGAUCGCAAGACCUUGCGCUAUUGGAUGAGCCGAAGUCGGAUUAGCUGUUGGUAGGGUAACGGCCUACCAAGGCGACGAUCCGUAGCUGGUCUGAGAGGACGACCAGCCACACUGGGACUGAGACACGGCCCAGACUCCUACGGGAGGCAGCAGUGGGGAAUAUUGGACAAUGGGGGCGAACCCUCGAUCCAGCGACCGCCGCGUGUGUGAAGAAGGCCUGCGGGUUGUAAAG
rnacentral:rRNA from 1 species